UUCUAACAAAAAAAAAGAAAAAAAGUAACACUGUUGAAAACAAUUUAAAUUCAUCAAAGUUGAUCCGUGAGCCCCUUUUAAGCCAAUAUUGGCAUCCACUGUUGCAAUAUACAUCAAUUAUGGAGGUUGCCUAAUUAUUGUUCGUCCUUGUCGUCAGUGCGUGUAGCUCUUGUUGUAGUCCCACUGAAAAAGAAGGCAUUUUGUCCCGUUCUAUUCGGAUUCAUAUUGAGGAGUUUUCUAUCUUCUUGUGUUGCGGUUUCAUCACGGAGGUAAAGAGAAUACCAAAACUUUCUCCUUAGCAUAAAGUGAAGUUGAAGUAGACAAUUCUUCGGAAGAUAAUGAGAAUGAUUAUAAAAACGGCCAAGCUCAUUCUGAUGAGGAUAUUUUUCGAUAUGAAGAUGUGUUGGGUUUAGUGAAGAUGAGAUACUAAAGAAGGUCUUUUGAACCGAAGAGUGCGGGUACGAGUUCUACAUGAAAUUGGAGAAAUGUCAUGGAUUUGGUAUCUAUCAAGGAGAUUACGGGAAGAAUGAAGCUGGAAAUGUAAUUAGAAGAAGGUUCUUUUGCAAUAGGACAUGGUUGAGGGAUGAAAAGCACUACAACAAAUUAGAUUGGAGGAGAUCCCACAGGCCGCACUACCAAAAAAAAAAAAAGGUUAAAAUGGCGGUUUUUAUGGGAAUUACGGCGG